GGUAUGACUCAGCAAUAGAUAUCUCGGCUCUCGCAUUGACGAAGAACGUAGCGAAAUAUGACAUGUGGUAUGAAUUAUAGAAUCCCGCGAGCCAUCGAGUCUUUGAAUGCAAGUUGCACCCGAGGCCAUCCGACCGAGGGCAUGCCUGCUUGGGCAUCACGC
rnacentral:rRNA from 1 species